UCCUGCUCCCCGCCAGGAGCAGACGGGGUGCAGAUGUAGGCUUUUGUUAGGAACAGCAUCUGUUCCUUUUGGCUACAAAAGCAACAAGAAAGCCAAAUUCUUACGAACUCCCACAGCAACCUACUUAUUUAAAAUAACCCCAGAUAAGUUACUUGCUUAGAAACUUAAUGCAUGUUGCAACCUCGAAGUGUAACCGGUUCCGUUCUUAAGUGAGCCGUGGUCCCCAGAAGGGUAUGGGUGAAUGGCAGUGCAGUGGUAAACAAAAUUACUCAGCCACAGAGUAACUCCAGCUCCAGCCCGUGCUGGAUGAUGCCUGGCCUCAGUGAGUCCAAUUGCAUCCAGAGCAGCGGGAAUUUAGGCACCCACUCCUCCAGUGCAUUUCCAGGCUACCUUCCUCUUCAUACAGAGCACCAGCAGGAGGAAUGGAGAGGUGUGGUGCCCUGCUUGGAUGUUCUGCUUGGUGGGGAGCAGCUACCAGUCCAGCUUUGUACCACACAAGGAGACAGGAGAGCUGAGAGUUUGUGUGGAGUCUGCCUGACAAAAGGGAGAGAAAGAAGAACUGCAUAGCUGUACGCUGCCUUGAAACAGUUAAACCAAUUAAUGUGCCUGUAAAUGGUGUCCAGGCUUAGAUGCUCAAGGAUUACCUUCCCAAUGAUCAAGGUGGUCUACUAAAUAAAGAUGACAUUGUGAUCUCAUGGAUAAAGUAGGGAAUGCUGCUUGCAGAGGAAGAACCAUUCAGGAGGCAAUUUUCCCAUUUAAAGAAUUACAGAAACUGAAAAAAAAUAUUCCACGGGUUGCAGCUGUAAUGCUUUUGGACCCAACCAAAAGGAAUAUUUGCUUUCAAAACACAGAUGUUUCUCUUCCAAGUCUGUAAAAGAUCACUGCUUUAACAUUUGCGAUUAAAACAUUUGCUUUAUCAGAAGUGAUAUUUCAAAGAAGAGUGAAAUGCCCAUCUUAUGUCAAUCAGUUGAAGGUCAUUUAGAGGAUAACGAAGCACAGAGCAGAGGAGCCGGUUCUCCAUUUCCAUUGUUAUUUGCCAUGCCAACAAGCAAAAGGCAAAGCUAUGUCAAAUUUAAAUUUGAAAACUAUAGUGUUUCACUGUAAUCCAUUAUAAGCUUGUAUUUAUUGGAUUAUCAUGUUUUAAUGUGUAUUAGAGUUUUAAAAAGCUUAUAUUAAAUGUGCAAGAGAGGAGAGCAAGUCACUGUACAUUGUUGGGAAUGGUGGAGCAUUACUACAGCUAAUUGUAUCUUACAGGACAAUUUACCUGUGAUUCGUGGAGCAAAAAAAUGUCUUUACGUGACUCCUCCGGUAUUGGUGUAUAUUACAAACAAAGGUGUGACAUAAUCAUAGACAUAUGCAAUACAGUGAUACAGAGACAAUUCUGUGCUCACUAGGAACAAGAUGUAUUUUAAAAUUACUCUUCAUCAUUUUCAUCUUCAAAUGAGUCAGUUCCCACUUCCUCAUAGUCCUUCUCCAGGGCAGCCAGGUCCUCUCGGGCCUCUGCAAAUUCUCCUUCCUCCAUGCCUUCACUUACGUACCAGUGCACAAAGGCUCUCUUGGCGUACAUAAGAUCAAACUUGUGGUCAAGCCUUGCCCAGGCCUCUGCAAUGGCUGUGGUGUUGCUGAGCAUGCAGACUGCUCGCUGAACCUGGGCUAAGUCUCCCCCAGGAACUACUGUAGGAGGCUGAUAGUUGAUCCCAACCUGGAAGUAGGAAUAUGAGAGAAGUAUGAAAAAGGGCAGAAAGCAGUCAGGAAGUUGAAAAAAAUGAAGUUACAGAUGCUGUGAUAGCAUGGUACCACUAUCAAAUGGCAAAUGCAAUAAAAUAUAAUAAGGUCAUACAC